UACGGAGGGCGCAAGCGUUUUUCGGAAUUACUGGGCGUAAAGCGCGUGUAGGCGGUCUGGUAAGUCGGUUGUGAAAUCCCCGGGCUCAACCCGGGAACUGCGACCGAAACUGCUGGGCUAGAGUUCCGGAGAGGAAGGCAGAAUUCCCAAUGUAGGGGUGAAAUCCGUAGAUAUUGGGAGGAAUACCAGUGGCGAAGGCGGCCUUCUGGACGGUGACUGACGCUGAGACGCGAAAGCGUGGGGAGCAAACAGG
rnacentral:rRNA from 1 species